AUCGUCAAUGCGACGUCCUCCUACUCCCACCUCAGAGCUGUCACAGAGACUGUCAGUUCCGUCCCUCCCCUUCAGCCCUUUAACGCACGUCUUCCCGACCGCAUAACUUGCUCAGUCCCUGCGGCCAACUGGGGCGGGCCAAUGGCUGUGACGGAUAAGGGGUGUGGGGUGCGGGGACAAUGGGCCAGAGCUUCUCAUGCAGCCUGCACCAGCGCCGGGUCGGAGAGUCAGAGGCCACCCUGAGAUGGACCGAGAUCUUCAGUUGGGGAGGCGCCUCCGGUGAGCUUGCGGCCAGAUGCCCCCUCAGUAGUCCUCCGCAACAGGUGCCGCGCAGCCGAGUGGCGGGCUAGCAUACCGCCUGCCCGCAAUUCGGCCAGGCCUCGAGCCUGCUCCGCCUUCCCGCUGCGGUAGCGCCGCCGGGGAAACGCCGCCACGGGCUGCAUGGGCAGCGCUCGCGCCCCGCCGCUGAGCCGCCGGGGAGCCGUCCAGUCUUCGAAUCCCAGAAACACAAAGAUGGUGCAGACCCAGGCCCUGCUUUGACUGGGAGAAAGAUGCAUUCAGUUGACUAAAACUUGAAAGAUGUUUGAAAUACAACAAAAUAGUUGGAAGAAUCUCCCAACACAGUUGGAAGACUAUCUACUGGGGAGAAGUGUUCAGUAUCAUAAAGAUAACAUCUCAUCCAGAGGAAAGUGCCACAGCAUGUUCCGAAGAGAUGAUUGGAAGAUGGAAGUGGAGGGUUAAAUAAUGAAAUGCAGCUAACAUUUCGGAAAGUUUCUAAAAGUUGUACAACAUGCCCUACAGCUACUCUUUAAAUCUCCAAAUCAAAUGAGUUUCAGGUGGAGCCUCUGGGAGGUGAUGAGGUCAUGAGAGUGGAGCCUCAUGAAUGGGAUGAGCACUCCUACAAAAAGGAUUCCAGAGAGCUCGCUUGCUCCUUCCACAGUGUGAGGACACAGAGGGAAGGCUCUGUCUAUGAAUGAGAAAGUGGGUCCCCACCAGACAUUGAAUCUGCCGCAUCUUGAUACUGGACUUCCAGUCUCCAGAACUGUGGGCAAUAAAUGUCUGUUGUUUAUUACCUGUCCAGUAUCUUUGGUAUUUUGCUAUAGCAACCCAAAUGGACUAAGAAAACACCAGAGGCCAUACCUAAUAAAAAUAUUGACAUCACA
rnacentral:lncRNA from 1 species